rnacentral:rRNA from 1 species
AUUGAACGCUGGCGGCAUGCCUUACACAUGCAAGUCGAACGGUAACAGGUCUUCGGAUGCUGCCGAGUGGCGACCGGGUGAGUAAUACAUCGGAACAUGCCCGAUCGUGGGGGUUAACGGGGCGAAAGCUUUGCUAAUACCGCCUACGAUCUACGGCUGCAAGCGGGGGAUCUUCGGACCUCGCGCGGACGGAGCCGCCGAUGUCAGAUUAGGUAGUUGGUGGGAUAAAAGCUUACCAAGCCGACGAUCUGUAGCUGGUCUGAGAGGAUGAUCAGCCACACUGGGACUGAGACACGGCCCAGACUCCUACGGGAGGCAGCAGUGGGGAAUUUUGGACAAUGGGCGAAAGCCUGAUCCAGCCAUGCCGCGUGCAUGAUGAAGGCCUUCGGGUUGUAAACUGCUUUUGUACGGAACGAAAAGCCGCUGGUUAAUAAAGAGGUGUCAUGACGGUACCGUAAGAAUAAGCACCGGCUAACUACGUG